UACGAAGGGGGCUAGCGUUGUUCGGAAUUACUGGGCGUAAAGCGUGCGCAGGCGGUUCGUUGUGUCGGCGGUGAAAGCCCCGGGCUCAACCUGGGAAUGGCCGUUGAAACUGGCGAACUGGAGUGUGGCAGAGGGGGGUGGAAUUCCGCGUGUAGCAGUGAAAUGCGUAGAGAUGCGGAGGAACACCGAUGGCGAAGGCAGCCCCCUGGGCUGACACUGACGCUCAGGCACGAAAGCGUGGGGAGCAAACAGG
rnacentral:rRNA from 1 species